rnacentral:RNase_P_RNA from 1 species
UGGGUCGGCAAGACGGCCGCGUCACCUUUCGCAGGUGCCGAGGAACGUCCGGGCUCCACAGGGCAGGGCGGUGGGUAACACCCACCCGGAGCAAUCCGCGAGAAAGUGCAACAGAAAGCAGACCGCCCCUGACCUCGGUCAGGGGUAAGGGUGAAACGGUGGUGUAAGAGACCACCAGUGGUCCGAGUGAUCGGGCCAGCUGGGUAAACCUCGUCCGGAGCAAGAUCAACAGGGAACGCCGAGGCUGCCCGCCGAGUUCCCGGGUGGAUCGCUAGAGGGCUGCGGCAACGCAGUCCCGAGAUAGAUGGCCGUCGAAGGUGCAUGGUGCACUGGAACAGAACCCGGCGUAUCAGCCGGCCCAUUCA